AUUGAACGCUGGCGGCAGGCCUAACACAUGCAAGUCGAACGAGUGGCGGACGGGUGAGUAAUGUCUGGGAAACUGCCCGAUGGCGGGGGAUAACUACUGGAAACGGUAGCUAAUACCGCAUACCAUCGGAUGUGCCCAGAUGGGAUUAGCUAGUAGGUGGGGUAACGGCUCACCUAGGCGUCGAUCCCUAGCUGGUCUGCGAGGAGGACCAGCCAGACUGGAACUGAGACACGGUCCAGACUCCGACGGGAGGCAGCAGUGGGGAAUAUUGCACAAUGGGCGCAAGCCUGAUGCAGCCAUGCCGCGUGUAGGAAGAAGGCCUGCGGGUUGUAAAGUACUUUCAGCGAGGAGGCGUUACUCGCAGAAGAAGCACCGGCUAACGACGUGCCAGCCGCCGCGGUAAUUC
rnacentral:rRNA from 1 species